rnacentral:rRNA from 1 species
CUAGUGAUUAGAGUUUGAUCAUGGCUCAGGAUGAACGCUGGCGGCGUGCUUAACACAUGCAAGUCGAACGAACCUUCGGGUUAGUGGCGGACGGGUGAGUAACGCGUGGGAAUCUGCCCUCAGGAGGGGGAUAACGGCUGGAAACGGCCGCUAAUACCCCAUAUGCCGAGAGGUGAAAUGAAUUUCGCCUGAGGAUGAGCCCGCGUCUGAUUAGCUAGUUGGUGAGGUAAGAGCUCACCAAGGCAUCGAUCAGUAGCUGGUCUGAGAGGAUGAUCAGCCACACUGGGACUGAGACACGGCCCAGACUCCUACGGGAGGCAGCAGUGGGGAAUUUUCCGCAAUGGGCGAAAGCCUGACGGAGCAACGCCGCGUGAGGGAUGAAGGCCUCUGGGCUGUAAACCUCUUUUCUCAAGGAAGAAGAUCUGACGGUACUUGAGGAAUAAGCCACGGCUAAUUCCGUGCCAGCAGCCGCGGUAAUACGGGAGUGGCAAGCGUUAUCCGGAAUUAUUGGGCGUAAAGCGUCCGCAGGCGGCCCUUCAAGUCUGCUGUUAAAAAGUGGAGCUUAACUCCAUCAUGGCAGUGGAAACUGUUGGGCUUGAGUGUGGUAGGGGCAGAGGGAAUUCCCGGUGUAGCGGUGAAAUGCGUAGAUAUCGGGAAGAACACCAGUGGCGAAGGCGCUCUGCUGGGCCAUAACUGACGCUCAUGGACGAAAGCCAGGGGAGCGAAAGGGAUUAGAUACCCCUGUAGUCCUGGCCGUAAACGAUGAACACUAGGUGUCGGGGGAAUCGACCCCCUCGGUGUCGUAGCCAACGCGUUAAGUGUUCCGCCUGGGGAGUACGCACGCAAGUGUGAAACUCAAAGGAAUUGACGGGGGCCCGCACAAGCGGUGGAGUAUGUGGUUUAAUUCGAUGCAACGCGAAGAACCUUACCAGGGUUUGACAUCCUGCGAACCUCUUGGAAACGAGAGGGUGCCUUCGGGAACGCAGUGACAGGUGGUGCAUGGCUGUCGUCAGCUCGUGUCGUGAGAUGUUGGGUUAAGUCCCGCAACGAGCGCAACCCACGUCUUUAGUUGCCAGCAUUCAGUUGGGCACUCUAGAGAGACCGCCGGUGAUAAACCGGAGGAAGGUGUGGAUGACGUCAAGUCAUCAUGCCCCUUACAUCCUGGGCUACACACGUACUACAAUGCUACGGACAAAGAGCAGCAAGUUCGCGAGGACAAGCAAAUCUCAUAAACCGUGGCUCAGUUCAGAUCGUAGGCUGCAACUCGCCUACGUGAAGGAGGAUCGCUAGUAAUCGCAGGUCAGCAUACUGCGGUGAAUACGUUCCCGGGCCUUGUAGACACCGCCC